GAUGAACGCUGGCGGCGUGCCUAAUACAUGCAAGUCGAGCGAAUGGAUUAAGAGCUUGCUCUUAUGAAGUUAGCGGCGGACGGGUGAGUAACACGUGGGUAACCUGCCCAUAAGACUGGGAUAACUCCGGGAAACCGGGGCUAAUACCGGAUAACAUUUUGAACCGCAUGGUUCGAAAUUGAAAGGCGGCUUCGGCUGUCACUUAUGGAUGGACCCGCGUCGCAUUAGCUAGUUGGUGAGGUAACGGCUCACCAAGGCAACGAUGCGUAGCCGACCUGAGGGGGUGAUCGGCAACACUGGGACUGAGACACGGCCCAGACUCCUUCGGGAGGCAGCAGUAGGGAAUCUUCCGCAAUGGACGAAAGUCUGACGGAGCAACGCCGCGUGAGUGAUGAAGGCUUUCGGGUCGUAAAACUCUGUUGUUAGGGAAGAACAAGUGCUAGUUGAAUAAGCUGGCACCUUGACGGUACCUAACCAGAAAGCCACGGCUAACUACGUGCCAGCCGCCGCCGUAA
rnacentral:rRNA from 1 species